rnacentral:rRNA from 1 species
UACGUAGGGUGCGAGCGUUAAUCGGAAUUACUGGGCGUAAAGCGUGCGCAGGCGGUUUUGUAAGUCAGAUGGGAAAUCCCCGGGCUCAACCUGGGAACUGCGUUUGAAACUACAAGGCUAGAGUGUGGCAGAGGGGGGUGGAAUUCCACGUGUAGCAGUGAAAUGCGUAGAGAUGUGGAGGAACACCGAUGGCGAAGGCAGCCCCCUGGGUUAACACUGACGCUCAGGCACGAAAGCGUGGGGAGCAAACAGG